CACGUAGGGCGCGAGCGUUGUCCGGAAUUAUUGGGCGUAAAGGGCUCGUAGGCGGUUUGUUGCGUCGAAAGUGAAAAUCCGGGGCUUAACUCCGGACUUGCUUUCGAUACGGGCAGACUAGAGGUAGGCAGGGGAGAGUGGAAUUCCUGGUGUAGCGGUGGAAUGCGCAGAUAUCAGGAGGAACACCGGUGGCGAAGGCGGCUCUCUGGGCCUUACCUGACGCUGAGGAGCGAAAGCGUGGGGAG
rnacentral:rRNA from 1 species